AUGAUACUGGGUAAAACUUCAAAUGAUGAAUGUUUUCCUAGUUCCCUUAUAUCCGUACCUACAGCCCUCCCACUCUCUCUCUCUGUGCAGUGCUCUCAUGGGGCACACACACGUGUGGACGUGUCUCUGCCCCUCCCACUCUGUGCAGUGCUCUCAUGGUGCACACACACGUGUGGACGUGUCUCUGCCCCUCCCCACUCUGUGCAGUGCUCUCAUGGUGCACACACACGUGUGGGCGUGUCUCUGCCCCUACCCACUCUCUCUGCACUGUUCUCGCAAUGCACAGAGACAUGUAGAUCCCUGGGUGCCUGUGGGGCUUCCCUCUACCUCCCUACAUGGCUCUGCUGCUUUCAGGUUUCACCUCCACACUACAAAGGUUGGAUUUACUCAGUGAACUUGUCUGUCUAUAUAGUAACACUUUGUAUUUAUUAAUGAAUAUAUUCCGGGCAUCUGGUGUAAGGCAAAGGUCUAAUGCCUGGAUACAGCACAGGUGGAUUAGAGAUGACAGAAAUGAGAAACAGAAAAGGAAAGGAGGGAACGGGCCAGUGGCACAACGGAUAACACGUCUGACGACAGAUCAGAAGAUUCUAGAAAAGAUGGGAAGGCUGCAGGGCACUUCCUUCUGGAGGGAUGCAGAAAGUGCAGCGAAGUGGUGACAUUUGGGAAUUGAGUAAGUCACGACAAAGCUCCAGGCUUCCGUGGUCUUAGUCUAUGGAAAACGCUGAAUACUUCCAGAAAACUCACACUCUUCUAGGCCUCCAGACCUGCAGUGCUAAUAAUUUUCAGACUUCCAUGUUCUAGAAAGAACAAAACGCUCAGACAAUCCAGUGAGAUCAGGGCUUCCUGCACCUCAGUCCCACACAUUCUCCUUCCUAGGAGCUAAAGGUGAACGCCGAAAGAUUUCACGUAGUCACAGCACAGGAACUGACUGGGUCCAGCUCUGCUUCAGGUCUAGCUCCCUGCUAAUGCUCCCGGGAAAGUGGUCCAAGUGGCUGGGCCUGCCCCCAAGCUGCAGAGCUGGAGGGAGCUGCGUGCUCCUGCUGUCUGGCCCAUCGCAGCCAUUGGAGCCAUCUGGGGAGUGAACAAGCAGAUGGAAAAUCUCUCUCUCUCUGCAUCACUCUCUAUAACUAUGCCUUUCAGACAAAGAAAAGAAAUCUUUACUGAAAAAACAGCAUUGCAGGGGCUGGUGUUGUGGUCUGGCAGGUUAAACUGCCAUCUGCAACGCCAGGGCCAGCAUUAUAAAUGAGCACACGUUGGACUCCUGGCUGCUCUGCUUCCGAUCCAGCUCCCUGCUGUGGCCUGGGAAUGCAGUGGAAGGUGGUCCAAACGCUUGGGCCCCUGUAGCCAUGUGGGAGACCUGGAAGAAGCUCCUGGCUCCUGCUUUAGUUUGGGCCAGCUCCGGCGAUUGCAGUCAUUUAAAAUAAAUAAAUCUAAAACAAAACA
rnacentral:lncRNA from 1 species